rfam:Salmo salar isolate Sally breed double haploid chromosome ssa09, whole genome shotgun sequence.
AAUGCAGCAACUUGUAAGUCGCUCUGGAUAAGAGCGUCUGCUAAAUGACUUAAA